AUCAAAACCAACUAAUCUUUCAUCAGUUGUGCCUCGAAACCACCCUCAGGCCUUUUUACAAGUCUGUAUGGCCUGUAUGUUCCAAGAAGUUUGUCCCAAAUGGAAAAGAAUGGCUGAGAAUAAUUGAACUUUGUGCCUUGAAGCUGAUGGUGAAUGUCAUGGUAAGCAGUGUUAUUAUGGAAAAACAAAUGGAAGACAUUACCAGGCAGCCAAAGUCCACAAUGAUCAUCAACUGUUUUGACCACAGCAAAACAGAAAAAGAUUACAGCAGUACGUGCAGUCAUUCCAGCAACAAGAAACGAAAGAGCACCACCGAAAGUAUCCAGGAGGAGACCUUCAAGUGGGUGGUUAUAAAGGGCACCAAUUGCGUAAGGCACGACCAACCGAUGAUGCUGGGAGUGAACAUGGCGGUAUAAGAACUUGUUCUGAUGCAUGUAGCGAUG
rnacentral:misc_RNA from 1 species